GCGGGAUUAGUACAAUGGCAGUAUAUCACCCUUCCAAGGUGAGGACGCCGGUUCGAAUCCGGUAUCCCGCUCCA
rnacentral:tRNA from 1 species